GCAUGGUCUGCCUCUCAGUCAGCCGGAAGAUGUGGUGCAGAAGGAGUAAAAUUCAGUAUGGUGAGGUCUGCUCAGUAAAGGCCCGUGCGGUGCGUUGACAAGGAAAAAGACUAAACAGAGUGACUCGAAAGUUUUAUGACUGCGCAGAGCGGGUGUAGUGCAAUGGCAGUCCGCGGUUACUUGGGGACUCUUGAUGGGAGACAGCAUCAAAAAAUAUGUGCAACAACCAGUCUGUGGGCUACUCCUGUGCGAGGAGCAACGUUACAAUUGGGUUCAGUAGGCUGCAGUGGACACUUCUGCGGCACCGCCAUGUUGUUACUACGGAACGGACACCACAGGCAGUGACUUUAGUUGGCAUGCUGGCACCCAGUGUUAAACAAACAUGAUGGCUGAGUGUUGGCAAUGGAAUAGAACUACACACUGCUUGCCUUUAGGCGUAAAGGCAGAGGAUCUGUGGUACUGAUAUCUACAGACUGAAGUGAUCUGGACAGGCAGUUUUGGAUGACUUUGGGAUGCAACUGCUAUCUUGGCUACAUCGACCAGUUUCGGCAAAUGUCAUGUCAGGAUGUGGAGUUCUGUCUGCAUACCUCAACCUCACAGGGGCUUUAAAUUUCAAGACAAGGGUUUUUAUUUUAUUUUCCUGUCUAAUCCCUCAUUUGAAGGUUUAAAACCAGAUCUAUCAAAAUGUUUGCCUUUUUAAUGUCUGUUAAUCGAAACAGCAGCAUCAAUAGGUAAUAUUGAACACACAUUUUACACUGGAGUACAGCAAGUGUACAUUUUGAGUUGGAUAAUUCUGAGGUUAUCUUGCAACUGAGCUCAAUGAUUAAGAGAUGCAAGUUUUCCAUGUGGCGUUUUGAAGAGAAAAGAUGGCUGUAAAUUCUGGUUUGGAAAAAUGAAGCAAAUGCUGAAAUCCCUUAAACCAACAUUCUGUCUGAAAGCCACCAAAUGUCAAUUGCUAGGUUUGCAGAUUAUGAGAAACGGCUUUCUAGUAAACUCUUUACUGCUAAGUUUAUGGCAUCACUCAUUUGGGGUCAUAACAAAAACAGCAAGAUGAUGUGGUGCUGAAGUCUGAUUAUACAAUGGUACAAGCAUUAAUGUACAGGAGGCUAAAUAACAAAUGCAUGAAUUGUUCCUCUCAUUUUGGCUGAAUAUUUGUCAUCUGUCUGUUUUAUUGGCCUAGAUGUAAUGUUGUACCACUGUCAUUUUUUGGGUAUAAUUUCCAAACUCCAGAUGGUGAUGGAAUCAUCUUUAUUUGAGAAAUGUACUUAAACCUUUUUGUCCCUACUUUCUGUGUUUUCAAGCUACCCCUUUAAAAGGUGAAUAAACUGAACAAGAAAUGUG